GUUUAAAUAGUUUAAUAAAAAUUUUGAUUUGUGGAGUCAAAGAUGUAGGUUUUUACUUUAGACC
rnacentral:tRNA from 1 species